rnacentral:rRNA from 1 species
GACGAACGCUGGCGGCGUGCUUAACACAUGCAAGUCGAACGGAAAGGCCCUGCUUUUGUGGGGUGCUCGAGUGGCGAACGGGUGAGUAACACGUGAGUAACCUGCCCUUGACUUUGGGAUAACUUCAGGAAACUGGGGCUAAUACCGGAUAGGAGCUCCUGCUGCAUGGUGGGGGUUGGAAAGUUUCGGCGGUUGGGGAUGGACUCGCGGCUUAUCAGCUUGUUGGUGGGGUAGUGGCUUACCAAGGCUUUGACGGGUAGCCGGCCUGAGAGGGUGACCGGCCACAUUGGGACUGAGAUACCGCCCAGACUCCUACGGGAGGCAGCAGUGGGGAAUAUUGCACAAUGGGCGGAAGCCUGAUGCAGCAACGCCGCGUGCGGGAUGACGGCCCUCGGGUUGUAAACCGCUUUCGCCUGUGACGAAGCGUGAGUGAAGGUAAUGGGUAAAGAAGCACCGGCUAACUACGUG